rfam:Aedes albopictus isolate Foshan contig115604, whole genome shotgun sequence.
GACUCGGUAGCUUAGGUGGAAAAGCACUUGCCUAGCGUAUAAGGGUCGUGAGUUCUAAUCUCACCUGAGCUG